AUUGAACGCUGGCGGCAGGCCUAACACAUGCAAGUCGGACGGUAGCACAGAGAGCUUGCUCUUGGGUGACGAGUGGCGGACGGGUGAGUAGUGUCUGGGAAACUGCCCGAUGGAGGGGGAUAACUACUGGAAACGGUAGCUAAUACCGCAUAACGUCUUCGGACCAAAGUGGGGGACCUUCGGGCCUCACACCAUCGGAUGUGCCCAGAUGGGAUUAGCUAGUAGGUGGGGUAAUGGCUCACCUAGGCGACGAUCCCUAGCUGGUCUGAGAGGAUGACCAGCCACACUGGAACUGAGACACGGUCCAGACUCCUACGGGAGGCAGCAGUGGGGAAUAUUGCACAAUGGGCGCAAGCCUGAUGCAGCCAUGCCGCGUGUAUGAAGAAGGCCUUCGGGUUGUAAAGUACUUUCAGCGGGGAGGAAGGCGAUGGAGUUAAUAGCUUCAUCGAUUGACGUUACCCGCAGAAGAAGCACCGGCUAACUCCGUGCCAGCCGCCGCGGUAA
rnacentral:rRNA from 1 species